GGGAAGAUGGCCGAGCGGUCUAAGGCGCUACGUUCAGGUUGAGUUAUCCAGAAUCCUGGAUUCCAUCCCGACUCGUAGUCUCGAAAGGGGCGUGGGUUCGAAUCCCACUCUUCUCA
rnacentral:tRNA from 1 species